rnacentral:rRNA from 1 species
CACGUAGGGCGCAAGCGUUGCCCGGAAUUAUUGGGCGUAAAGAGCUCGUAGGCGGUUUGUCACGUCUGCUGUGAAAACUGGAGGCUCAACCUCCAGCCUGCAGUGGGUACGGGCAGACUAGAGUGCGGUAGGGGAGAUUGGAAUUCCUGGUGUAGCGGUGGAAUGCGCAGAUAUCAGGAGGAACACCGAUGGCGAAGGCAGAUCUCUGGGCCGUAACUGACGCUGAGGAGCGAAAGCAUGGGGAGCGAACAGG